rnacentral:rRNA from 1 species
GAGUGAGGGCCCUCUGGGUCCAACCUCCCACCCGUGUUUAUUCAACUUGUUGCUUCGGCGGGCCCGCCUUAACUGGCCGCCGGGGGGCUUACGCCCCCGGGCCCGCGCCCGCCGAAGACACCCUCGAACUCUGUCUGAAGAUUGAAGUCUGAGUGAAAAUAUAAAUUAUUUAAAACUUUCAACAACGGAUCUCUUGGUUCCGGCAUCGAUGAAGAACGCAGCGAAAUGCGAUACGUAAUGUGAAUUGCAAAUUCAGUGAAUCAUCGAGUCUUUGAACGCACAUUGCGCCCCCUGGUAUUCCGGGGGGCAUGCCUGUCCGAGCGUCAUUGCUGCCCUCAAGCCCGGCUUGUGUGUUGGGCCCCGUCCCCCGAUCUCCGGGGGACGGGCCCGAAAGGCAGCGGCGGCACCGCGUCCGGUCCUCGAGCGUAUGGGGCUUUGUCACCCGCUCUGUAGGCCCGGCCGGCGCUUGCCGAUCAACCCAAAUUUUUAUCCAGGUUGACCUCGGAUCAGGUAGGGAUACCCGCUGAACUUAAGCAUAUCAAUA